rnacentral:tRNA from 1 species
GCCCAGGUGGUGAAAUUGGUAGACGCAGGGGACUCAAAAUCCCCCGCCGAGAGGCGUGCCGGUUCGAUUCCGGCCCUGGGCACCA